CCAUAAGAAAUGAAUGGGAAAUACGAAAACAUACGAAAACUCUGAGAAUCUUUUGGUGGUACAAACUACAAAUCAACCACUGUGCAGAAAAAAGUGCACAUCAAUGAAGGGGUGACGCUCUAAAAUGUCAAGAGUGCAAAACAGACACACCCAACCCACACUAGUGUGACUAUAAAACAGAGCAAGUUUUUGCAAAUGUGAAAUAAUCAAGAAUUCAGCCACUAUGCAGGAAAAAACAGCAAGUAAGAAGUUUACACACGCACACAAAUGAACUGGUGUGGCUGUAACAAUUAUGGUAACACUGAGCCAAAAGACUCAAAUAAGAGGUUGAAAUCAGAUCUGAUUCUGACUCAGAUUGAUUGAUGUAACCCAGGUAACCCAGGCUACCAGUAAAGAGAAAAAAAGUUAAGAAAAGGAAAAAAAAAAUUCUAGAAGAAAAAGAGAUUCAUCCAAUCACUGAUCGAGCUGCAGUGAGAGACACCCCUAAGAGCCAAUAAUAGCGGCGCAUUCAUAAGUCCCGCCCACUGGUCGCGCCGGCGCUGCUUUCAGCGUGAGCAUAUGAGAGAGAGUCAGAGCAGAUCAAAUCCAUUUAUCUAACUGGAAAUGUGAUUGAAUGAGUGCAUUGAAAGCUGAACUUUUGAAGUCGAUGCGUCAGCCUGAAGUGAUGUCGUCGGAGAGAGAGAAGAGAAGAGAGAGACGGAGCGGAUCCCGGAGUGUUGAACUACCCAAAGGAAAAGGACAGUGAUUCCCAAACCACAGAGAAAUGUUGCCCGAAAGGCUGUUGAUGAGUAUCAAGCACAAGCCCUUGACAGAGACUCAGAAGAGGCUGAAAAAAAUGGAGGAAAACGAAAAAUUGAGAAAUGACAACAAAAAAAGCUACCAAAUCUGAUAAAUGAAGUGAAGAUGGCCCUGAAGUCUCAGUGUUCGUCAGCAUCAGUCUGCUCUAACUUGGAAGAUGGGACAGGAUUUGCCACAGAGUAAUUACAGAGCCCUUCUAACAGAACAGGAGCAACGUUGCAGAAAGUGUCCUCAUGUGGUGCCCGCCAGCAUUGGUCAGGGCUCAACGCUAAGGAUUUUUUCCCUACUGGGCCAGUGGUUCAAAUUUUUACUUGCCCCGCCAAAAUUUUCACUUGCCCCACAACAAAAAUUUAAUAAGAAAGAAAAGAAAAAAGAAAAGAAAAUGAGCCUAUAAAAUAAGCCUAGUUAUUGUUUUUUGUUGUUUUUGAUACAUGUAACCUUAAUUAAUAAAUAGGGUUAUAAUAACAAAAACUACUAGAUUAACUCACUUAAAUUUUAAAUAUUGUUAGACAAAUAAACAGUAAGUAAUAAAAUAGUAACAAAUAAUCAAAUUAUGAGUAAUAGCAAAAAUAAAUACAACAGAACGAACAUAUAAAUGAAAUAAAUGGCGCUUUUCAAGUUUUUCAUGUAGGUUUAAACAGGAGAUUUUCAGGUACAGAAAUUGUAAUCGAAUGUAUAACUAACUAUAUAACUAUAGAUUAAACUUUAUUAAAGUUAAUCAGUCAACAGCUGUUACAGAUGAAUAAAUAAUGUUUUGAAAUGUUGAAAAUAUAAAAUGUUAAAUACUGUUACUCGAAAUUAUUUAAAAAAAUGAACAGACAUAUUAAACGUGAAAUUAAACCCGCCAGUAGGUGGCAGCGAAUCACUGUUAAUGAGCGAGUCAUUGCGAUUCAACUGAUUCAUUCAAACGGCUGAUUCAUUCAGGAAGUGUUGCUCAGAGACGCAAAACAAUUCUGUGUGGACUUUGUUUGGAACUAUUUUCGUGGGUGAAAUAGAGCGAAACAGGCGAUUUGGUGUUUAAAAUGUAAGUCACUUGAUAUUAAGUUAUUGUUCAUUAAACUGUACGUUGUAUAAAAUCAAUAUCACAUUUGUAAUCGUGCCGAUAUUUAGAGAACAAAGGCGCUCUUUGUUUAAUAUUGGUUAACUAUAUUAAAUGAUAUAAUAUGAAAGAUAUACAGGGUCAUUUUUGCCCCUUAUCUUGAAUUCUGGGGCAUUCUAAAGGCAUUUCAGUAGACUAAAUCACGCCGUGAAAGCGUGCACUCUAAAUAUGCACGCGCACUACUGGACUACGUCACGUAGUGUGUGCGUGCACUCAAUGGGUGUGUUUUUGUUUGUUUUUUGUAAAGUGAGGGACAUACUCGAUAAUUUCAUAUCGUUAAAUCAACAAUUACGAUAUCAUAGACGAUAUAUAUCGCACACCCUACAGCACUGGCCCGAUCGGGCAAGUGACAGUUCUGCCUACUGUCUGAGCGUCGUUCACACUGGCCCCGGGCCAUCGGGCAGUCCUUAUUGUCGAGCCCUGAUUGGUGCAACCAUCAAUGCCAAACUUACUGAAAUUAGGGGGAAGAAAACCUUAAUGGUCUUUGAUGAUUGAUAGCCAUGACAGUGUGUUCGAGGUAUUUUGUUGUUGUUGGUGUGAGUGUGUGUGUGUUUUGCUUUCGCAAAGUUCAAAAGUUCAGUUUGAUAUCAAGUUGUAAUUCUAAAUUACUCUUGUGGAGUGUAAUUUGAUUGUAUCUUUUUGAUUGUGUUGAAAUAAAAGUAUUUCUGAUGCAAAUUUGUGCAAGUAAUUGACUGAAAUCAUAUAUGAUUUGUAUGUGCAGAGAUAUUGUAAUAUUGACUGAAAUCAUACAAGAUAAUUAUAUGUAGAGAUAUAAUAAUGUUGUAAAAUGAGGAAUUAGAUGGAAACAUAUAAAGCUUGAAGAACAGGCACACAAUUUCCCUAUUAAAAACAUAAAAUCUGUAUAAAAUUCAUAUGAACAAAUGAUGCAAAAUUUAAAUAAAUCCUAUAUGACUUGCAUAUGAUUCAAUCAAGAAUUUUAAAUUAUUUGUAUAGGAAUUUACUGAUAUUCAUACACAUUUUCUACUAAAAUCAUAUACCAUUGCAU